rnacentral:rRNA from 1 species
GAUGAACGCUAGCGGCAGGCCUAACACAUGCAAGUCGAGGGGCAGCACGUCUUCGGAUGGUGGCGACCGGCGCACGGGUGCGUAACGCGUAUGCAACCUACCUCUUACAGUGGGAUAGCCCAGAGAAAUUUGGAUUAAUACCGCAUAGUAUACAGAUUCAGCAUUGGGACUGUAUUAAACAUUUAUGGGUAAGAGAUGGGCAUGCGUUCUAUUAGUUAGUUGGAGUGGUAACGGCACCCCAAGACAGCGAUAGAUAGGGGCCCUGAGAGGGGGAUCCCCACACUGGUACUGAGACACGGACCAGACUCCUACGGGAGGCAGCAGUGAGGAAUAUUGGACAAUGGGCGAGAGCCUGAUCCAGCCAUGCCGCGUGCAGGAAGACGG